AUGCAGUGCGCGGCGGGCGGCGGCGGCGGCGGGGAGCCGGCGGUGAGGAAGGGGCCCUGGACCAUGGAGGAGGACCUCGUCCUCGCCGACUACGUCGCCGCCAACGGCGAGGGCGCGUGGAACAGCCUCGCCCGCGCCGCCGGGCUGAACCGGACGGGGAAGAGCUGCCGGCUGCGGUGGCUGAACUACCUGCGCCCCGACGUGCGGCGCGGCAACAUCACGCCGGAGGAGCACCUGCUCAUCGUGGAGCUGCAGGCCAGCGACAGCGCCGGGUGCCAGCUUCUGAGCUCGGCGGCGGUGACCGAGUCCCAGAGCAGCAGCAGCAACUCCGUGGGCCGGCCGGGCGCCAUGCCGCACUACGACGUCGUCGCGGCGGCGACGCAGCCAGGCGGCUGGGGUGAUCACCAGCUUGGCUACGCCGUGCAAGGAGGAGGUGGUGCCGCGUGUGCCGGUGGAAUGGACGGCGGCGUGCCGCCGGAGUUCUUGCAGGCGGCGGCGGUGGCGGGCGACAACUUCUGGGGCCUCGAGGAGUUCUGGCCAACGGUGCCGUCGCUCCACGGCGACUACUGA
rnacentral:rRNA from 1 species